rnacentral:rRNA from 1 species
UACGUAGGGUGCGAGCGUUGUCCGGAAUUACUGGGCGUAAAGAGCUCGUAGGUGGUUUGUCGCGUUGUUCGUGAAAACUCACAGCUCAACUGUGGGCGUGCGGGCGAUACGGGCAGACUGGAGUACUGCAGGGGAGACUGGAAUUCCUGGUGUAGCGGUGAAAUGCGCAGAUAUCAGGAAGAACACCCGUGGCGAAGGCGGCUUUCUGGGACGGUACUGACGCUGGAGACGCGAAAGCGUGGGGAGCGAACAGG